GCUUGUCUCAAAGAUUAAGCCAUGCAUGUCUCAGUAUAAGCUUCUAUACGGCGAAACUGCGAAUGGCUCAUUAAAACAGUUAUAGUUUAUUUGGUGGUCAACUCUUACAUGGAUAACCGUGGUAAUUCUAGAGCUAAUACAUGCGCCCAAACCCAACUUCUUGGAAGGGUUGUGUUUAUUAGACUUAAGCCAAUAUUCCUUGUGUCUAUUGCGAUGAUUCAUAAUAACUGAUCGAAUCUCAAAUUUGAGAUAAAUCAUUCAAGUUUCUGCCCUAUCAGCUUUCGAUGGUAGUGUAUUGGACUACCAUGGCAGUAACGGGUAACGAAGAAUUAGGGUUCGAUUUCGGAGAGGGAGCAUGAGAAACGGCUACCACAUCUAAGGAAGGCAGCAGG
rnacentral:rRNA from 1 species